UACGUAGGGGGCAAGCGUUGUCCGGAAUUAUUGGGCGUAAAGGGCACGCAGGCGGUUCCUUAAGUCUGAUGUGAAAGCCCGUGGCUCAACCACGGAGGGCCAUUGGAAACUGGGGAACUUGAGAACUGAAGAGGAGAGUGGAAUUCCACGUGUAGCGGUGAAAUGCGUAGAUAUGUGAGGAACACCAGUGGCGAAGGCGACUCUCUGGUCGGUUUCUGACGCUGAGGUGCGAAAGCGUGGGUAGCAAACAGGAUUAGAUACCCUGGUAGUCCACGCCGUAAACGAUGAGUGCUAGGUGUUAGGGGGCUUCCACCCCUUAGUGCUGAAGUUAACGCAUUAAGCACUCCGCCUGGGGAGUACGGCCGCAAGGCUGAAACUCAAAGGAAUUGACGGGGGCCCGCACAAGCGGUGGAGCAUGUGGUUUAAUUCGAAGCAACGCGAAGAACCUUACCAGGUCUUGACAUCCUUGGACACUUCCAGAGAUGGAAGGUUCCCUUCGGGGACCAAGUGACAGGUGGUGCAUGGUU
rnacentral:rRNA from 1 species